CGAGGUGUAGCGCAGUCUGGUCAGCGCAUCUGUUUUGGGUACAGAGUGCCAUAGGUUCGAAUCAUGUCACCUUGA
rnacentral:tRNA from 2 species